rnacentral:rRNA from 11 species
UGUUGGAAAAAUACCCUAAAGGCACCAGAUCUUGUCUGAUCUUAGAAGCUAAGGACACUUGGUCUCAGCCAGUACUUGGAUGGGAGACCACCACCAAAUCCCAGAUGGCAU